GUGGGGAAUCUUGCGCAAUGGGCGAAAGCCUUACGUAGCCAUGCCGCGUGAAUGAUGAAGGUCUUAGGAUUGUAAAAUUCUUUCACCGGGGACGAUAAUGACGGUACCCGGAGAAGAAGCCCCGGCUAACUUCGUGCCAGCAGCCGCGGUAAUACGAAGGGGGCUAGCGUUGCUCGGAAUUACUGGGCGUAAAGGGCGCGUAGGCGGACAGUUUAGUCAGAGGUGAAAGCCCAGGGCUCAACCUUGGAAUUGCCUUUGAUACUGGCUGUCUUGAGUACGGGAGAGGUGAGUGGAACUCCGAGUGUAGAGGUGAAAUUCGUAGAUAUUCGGAAGAACACCAGUGGCGAAGGCGACUCACUGGCCCGUUACUGACGCUGAGGCGCGAAAGCGUGGGGAGCAAACAGGAUUAGAAACCCUUGUAGUCC
rnacentral:rRNA from 1 species